rnacentral:misc_RNA from 1 species
GAUGAAGAACGUAGCGAAAUGCGAUACGUAAUGUGAAUUGCAGAAUUCAGUGAAUCAUCGAAUCUUUGAACGCAUAUUGCGCUCUCUGGUAUUCCGGAGAGCAUGCUUGUUUGAGUAUCAGUAAACACCUCAACUCCCUUUUCUUUUUUGAAAUUGGAGCUGGACUUGAGUGAUCCCAACGCUUUCUUCCAAGAAAGUGGCGGGUUGCUUGAAAUGCGGGUGCAGCUGAACUUUUCUCUGAGCUAUAAGCAUAUCUAUUUAGUCUGCCUAAAAAACAGAUUAUUACCUUUGCUGCAGCUAACAUAAAGGAGACUAGUUCUUGUGCUGACUGAUGCAGGAUUCACAGAGACAGCUUCGGCUGACUUUGUAAACUCGAUCUCAAAUCAAGUAAGACUACCCGCUGAACUUAAGCAUAUCAAUAAGCGGAGGA